AGAGAGAACAACAGGAGGACAGUAGAGAGAGAGAGAGAACAACAGGAGGACAGUAGAGAGAGAGAGAGAACAACAGGAGGACAGUAGAGAGAGAGAGAACAACAGGAGGACAGUAGAGAGAGAGAGAGAGAACAACAGGACAGUAGAGAGAGAGAGAGAACAACAGGAGGACAGUAGAGAGAGAGAACAACAGGAGGACAGUAGAGAGAGAGAGAGAACAACAGGAGGACAGUAGAGAGAGAGAACAACAGGAGGACAGUAGAGAGAGAGAGAGAACAACAGGACAGUAGAGAGAGAGAGAGAACAACAGGACAAACAACAGGAGGAACAACAGGAGGACUGUAGAGAGAGAGAGAGAACAACAGGAGGACAGUAGAGAGAGAGAGAACAACAGGAGGACAGUAGAGAGAGAGAGAGAACAACAGGACAGUAGAGAGAGAGAGAGAACAACAGGAGGACAGUAGAGAGAGAGAGAGAACAACAGGAGGACAGUAGAGAGAGAGAACAACAGGAGGACAGUAGAGAGAGAGAGAGAACAACAGGAGGACAGUAGAGAGAGAGAGAACAACAGGAGGAUAGUAGAGAGAGAGAACAACAGGAGGACAGUAGAGAGAGAGAGAACAACAGGAGGACAGUAGAGAGAGAGAGAACAACAGGAGGACAGUAGAGAGAGAGAGAGAACAACAGGACAGUAGAGAGAGAGAGAGAACAACAGGAGGACUGUAGAGAGAGAGAACAACAGGAGGACAGUAGAGAGAGAGAGAACAACAGGAGGACAGUAGAGAGAGAGAGAACAACAGGAGGACAAUAGAGAGAGAGAGAGAACAACAGGAGGACAGUAGAGAGAGAGAGAGAACAACAGGAGGACAGUAGAGAGAGAGAGAGAACAACAGGAGGACAGUAGAGAGAGAGAACAACAGGAGGACAGUAGAGAGAGAGGGAGAAUAACAGGAGGACAGUAGAGAGAGAGAGAGAACAACAGGAGGACAGUAGAGAGAGAGAACAACAGGAGGACAGUAGAGAGAGAGAGAACAACAGGAAGACAGUAGAGAGAGAGAGAACAACAGGAGGACAGUAGAGAGAGAGAGAGAACAACAGGAGGACAGUAGAGAGAGAGAGAGAACAACAGGAAGACAGUAGAGAGAGAACAACAGGAGGACAGACAGUAGAGAGAGAGAACAACAGGAGGACAGUAGAGAGAGAACAACAGGAGGACAGUAGAGAGAGAGAGAGAACAACAGGAGGACAGUAGAGAGAGAGAGAGAGAACAACAGGAGGACAGUAGAGAGAGAGAGAGAACAACAGGAAGACAAGAGAGAGAGAGAACAACAGGAGGACAGUAGAGAGAGAGAACAACAGGAGGAUAGUAGAGAGAGAGAGAGAACAACAGGAGGACAGUAGAGAGAGAGAGAGAACAACAGGAGGACAGUAGAGAGGGGGACCAACAGGAGGACAGUAGAGAGAGAGAACAACAGGAGGAUAGUAGAGAGAGAGAGAGAACAACAGGAGGACAGUAGAGAGAGAGAGAACAACAGGAGGACAAUAGAGAGAGAGAGAGAACAACAGGAGGACAGUAGAGAGAGAGAGAACAAUAGGAGGACAGUAGAGAGAGAGAGAACAACAGGAGGACAGUAGAGAGAGAGAGAACAACAGGAGGACAGUAGAGAGAGAGAACAACAGGAGGACAGUAGAGAGAGAGAGAACAACAGGAGGACAGUAGAGAGAGAGAGAGAACAACAGGACAGUAGAGAGAGAGAGAGAACAACAGGAGGACAGUAGAGAGAGAGAGAGAACAACAGGAGGACAGUAGAGAGAGAGAGAACAACAGGAGGACAGUAGAGAGAGAGAGAGAACAACAGGAGGACAGUAGAGAGAGAGAGAACAACAGGAGGACAGUAGAGAGAGAGAGAACAACAGGAGGACAGUAGAGAGAGAGAGAACAACAGGA
ensembl:lncRNA